GAUGAACGCUGGCGGCGUGCCUAAUACAUGCAAGUCGAGCGAACAGACGAGAAGCUUGCUCCUCUGAUGUUAGCGGCGGACGGGUGAGUAACACGUGGAUAACCUACCUAUAAGACUGGGAUAACUUCGGGAAACCGGAGCUAAUACCGGAUAAUAUAUUGAACCGCAUGGUUCAAUAGUGAAAGACGGUCUUGCUGUCACUUAUAGAUGGAUCCGCGCCGCAUUAGCUAGUUGGUAAGGUAACGGCUUACCAAGGCAACGAUGCAUAGCCGACCUGAGAGGGUGAUCGGCCACACUGGAACUGAGACACGGUCCAGACUCCUACGGGAGGCAGCAGUAGGGAAUCUUCCGCAAUGGGCGAAAGCCUGACGGAGCAACGCCGCGUGAGUGAUGAAGGUCUUCGGAUCGUAAAACUCUGUUAUUAGGGAAGAACAAAUGUGUAAGUAACUAUGCACGUCUUGACGGUACCUAAUCAGAAAGCCACGGCUAACUACGUG
rnacentral:rRNA from 1 species